UUUAAAGUAUAAAUUAUUUCUUGAUUAUUAAAAAUUAUUUAAUUUUAAAAUUAAAAAAUUUGGUAGUAUUUAAUUUUUUAGAGGAACCUGUUUAUUAAUAGAUAUUCCACUAUAUAUUUUACUUAAAUUAAUUUAAUUUAUAUACCGUUGUCAUAAGAAAAUCUUAAGAAAGAUUAAAAUUUUCAUAAUUUUUUUAAAAAAAAAAUGUCAAAUCAAGGUGUAAUAUAUAUUUAAGAAUUUGAUGGGUUACAAUAAUUUUAAUUUUUUUUUAAUUUUUAAAAAAAAAUUAAAUAAAUUGGAUUUAAAAGUAAAAUUUUUUAUAUAAAAAAUUUGAUUGAAUUUUAAAUGUGC
rnacentral:rRNA from 1 species